rnacentral:rRNA from 1 species
AACGGGUGAGUAACACGUGGGUAACCUGCCCAUCAGAAGGGGAUAACACUUGGAAACAGGUGCUAAUACCGUAUAACAAUCGAAACCGCAUGGUUUUGAUUUGAAAGGCGCUUUCGGGUGUCGCUGAUGGAUGGACCCGCGGUGCAUUAGCUAGUUGGUGAGGUAACGGCUCACCAAGGCCACGAUGCAUAGCCGACCUGAGAGGGUGAUCGGCCACAUUGGGACUGAGACACGGCCCAAACUCCUACGGGAGGCAGCAGUAGGGAAUCUUCGGCAAUGGACGAAAGUCUGACCGAGCAACGCCGCGUGAGUGAAGAAGGUUUUCGGAUCGUAAAACUCUGUUGUUAGAGAAGAACAAGGAUGAGAGUAACUGUUCAUCCCUUGACGGUAUCUAACCAGAAAGCCACGGCUAACUACGUGCCAGCAGCCGCGGUAAUACGUAGGUGGCAAGCGUUGUCCGGAUUUAUUGGGCGUAAAGCGAGCGCAGGCGGUUUCUUAAGUCUGAUGUGAAAGCCCCCGGCUCAACCGGGGAGGGUCAUUGGAAACUGGGAGACUUGAGUGCAGAAGAGGAGAGUGGAAUUCCAUGUGUAGCGGUGAAAUGCGUAGAUAUAUGGAGGAACACCAGUGGCGAAGGCGGCUCUCUGGUCUGUAACUGACGCUGAGGCUCGAAAGCGUGGGGAGCAAACAGGAUUAGAUACCCUGGUAGUCCACGCCGUAAACGAUGAGUGCUAAGUGUUGGAGGGUUUCCGCCCUUCAGUGCUGCAGCUAACGCAUUAAGCACUCCGCCUGGGGAGUACGACCGCAAGGUUGAAACUCAAAGGAAUUGACGGGGGCCCGCACAAGCGGUGGAGCAUGUGGUUUAAUUCGAAGCAACGCGAAGAACCUUACCAGGUCUUGACAUCCUUUGACCACUCUAGAGAUAGAGCUUCCCCUUCGGGGGCAAAGUGACAGGUGGUGCAUGGUUGUCGUCAGCUCGUGUCGUGAGAUGUUGGGUUAAGUCCCGCAACGAGCGCAACCCUUAUUGUUAGUUGCCAUCAUUCAGUUGGGCACUCUAGCAAGACUGCCGGUGACAAACCGGAGGAAGGUGGGGAUGACGUCAAAUCAUCAUGCCCCUUAUGACCUGGGCUACACACGUGCUACAAUGGGAAGUACAACGAGUUGCGAAGUCGCGAGGCUAAGCUAAUCUCUUAAAGCUUCUCUCAGUUCGGAUUGCAGGCUGCAACUCGCCUGCAUGAAGCCGGAAUCGCUAGUAAUC